UGGGCCUCUUGUUUGACAUAGGCCCGACCUUCUGAUGAAGGUUUGAUGUCGUCGUCUUUUUUAAAUAAACAUGUGUUAUAACGAUCAAUAUGAAAGUAAUAUUUCAAUGCAACAUUCAACAGUUUACAAUGAAAAGUAGAAGUGUUUGUGCAUUUGGAUUUUAUUCACGUGGUUUCUUUGGAUCUGAGGACGAGAGGAAAUCCUGAGGCACUUCAGGCCUAGUGUAGCUGAUUGUCAAGUUGCUGGAUGCACAUAGACACCUCAAAACAAUCGCCGACUGCCCAUAAAAUAAAAAAUGUAACUGACUUUAGCCAUGUAAGUUUUGAAGAGAAUGACACCACUUUAAAAAAAAGCAUAAAGCAUACAACAUAGGACAAGGGAAAUUCAUAUCCUGUGAUGACCUUGACAAACUUUCUUCAGGAAAAUUUGCUACAUCUGGAUGUAUUAUUGCUUCAAACUUUGAAUUGCCUCCAAUCGUGACAGGAAAGAUUACACAAUGUAAAUCUAGUGCUGCGAUUCAACAAGACGAGAAGAAAUACAGUGAUAACCACUCCCCUUAUAUGUACAAAUGUCUGAUACGUCAUUGCACUGUCUUAGGUUGUAUUAAAAUGUUUGCCACCAAUGCAGGUUUUCAAAACCAUUUCCUUAUUGGAAAACAUGUACUUAAAUUAUAAAUAAAAAUAACUUACGACAAAACUAGACACCAGUGGGUUCAACUGUGCAAUGAGGUGGUGUUCAAAUGCAACAAUACAUGUAUAACAACAACAUCAACGAUUCUAGGAUAGGGUGGGCUGUACGAAACCCAGAAAAGUGACGAGAUUCCACGAGAAGAUAAGAGCAUAUCUCGGUAGAGAGCAAAAUAUCUGCUCGUACGUAACCUUGUUGAUGUUGCUGAGGAUUUGAAGAAGACAAGUGGUUACAACUGCUUUACAACUGAUCCAUGGCUAAGUGCUGCCCAGAUUACGUCCUAUUUCUCACGACUAUCUAUAAUGUCAAAACAGAAAAGGAAAAUUCAAAGCGUGAAUUUGAUGAUGAUUUGAUUGUUGCCCUUGCAGCUAUUGAGGAAGAAAACGUUGUAAACAAUAUUUACUCAGUCUGAAUUGUAGUUCUGAACUAGUUGAAAAAAAAUUCUGUUCUGAAUAUCUAAGUUAAAUCUUAAUAGUCAACAAAAGUACACAUAUAAAAUUAUUUCUUAAAACCCUAGGGAUGGAAAAUUCAGAAUUUUUGUACAUCUUUUACUGCUUUUCCUAAUUAUGCAAUUAGUUUUUAUACUAUAUCAGCUAACUUUAAAAAGUCUUUCAAAUGAUAAAUACAAUCAUUAUAAUAAUUUUGGCUUCAUCCUGGAACCAAACCCUUACCCCCUAGGAAUCAUGAAAUUUACAAUUUUGGUAAAAGACUACUUACUCCUUCUGAAUAUCUAUUUAGUUUCAGUUUAGUAUCAAUAGCAUUAAAGAAGAUAUUUUUUUCAACAAAUGUAUUGCAAUUUAUAGGGCUAAUAUACCGGUAGGGGAAAUGCCAUUUUUAGGCAAAAAUAUAGGGAUUAUAGGGGUGGUCAAAUAUAUAAAGUUUUCUAGGAAAUAUAGGGCUGCUUAAAGGCCUGUAUAUAUGGCAGUACUAACUGCUUCAAUGGCAUUAUUAUGAUAUGACAGAAAUGUAAAUACUGAGAUUACAUUUCGAGAUAUGUAUUACGAUAUAUCACAUUUCAUAAUCAAUAAUUUGUGCCUCUAUGUUCUGAAAUGAAACUAAUUAUUGAAAUGAAUUAGAGAAGAAAAAAAAGAUA